UGGGGAAUAUUGGACAAUGGGCGAAAGCCUGAUCCAGCAAUGCCGCGUGUGUGAAGAAGGCCUUCGGGUUGUAAAGCACUUUAGGUCGGAAAGAAAAAGCUUCACCUAAUACGUGAAGCCUUGACGGUACCGACAGAAUAAGCACCGGCUAACUCUGUGCCAGCAGCCGCGGUAAUACAGAGGGUGCAAGCGUUAAUCGGAUUUACUGGGCGUAAAGCGUGCGUAGGCGGUUCGUUAAGUCGGAUGUGAAAGCCCUGGGCUCAACCUAGGAAUUGCAUUCGAUACUGAUGGACUGGAGAUCGGUAGAGGGCGGCGGAAUUCCGGGUGUAGCAGUGAAAUGCGUAGAUAUCCGGAGGAACACCGAUGGCGAAGGCAACCGCCUGGGCCUGAUCUGACGCUGAGGCACGAAAGCGUGGGGAGCAAACAGGAUUAGAUACCCCCGUAGUCC
rnacentral:rRNA from 1 species